rnacentral:rRNA from 1 species
GAUGAACGCUGGCGGCGUGCCUAAUACAUGCAAGUCGAGCGAAUGGAUUAAGAGCUUGCUCUUAUGAAGUUAGCGGCGGACGGGUGAGUAACACGUGGGUAACCUGCCCAUAAGACUGGGAUAACUCCGGGAAACCGGGGCUAAUACCGGAUAACAUUUUGAACCGCAUGGUUCGAAAUUGAAAGGCGGCUUCGGCUGUCACUUAGGGAUGGACCCGCGUCGCAUUAGCUAGUUGGUGAGGUAACGGCUCACAAAGGCAACGAUGCGUAGCCGACCUGAGAGGGUGAUCGGCCACACUGGGACUGAGACACAGCCCAGACUCCUACGGGAGGCAGCAGUAGGGAAUCUUCCGCAAUGGACGAAAGUCUGACGGAGCAACGCCGCGUGAGUGAUGAAGGCUUUCGGGUCGUAAAACUCUGUUGUUAGGGAAGAACAAGUGCUAGUUGAAUAAGCUGGCACCUUGACGGUACCUAACCAGAAAGCCACGGCUAACUACGUGCCAGCCGCCGCAGUAA